rnacentral:lncRNA from 10 species
GAGGCGGUUGAGGCCCGGCGAGAAUUCGAGCGCUGCGCGGGCGGGCCAGCAGAGUUGGGGGACCCUGCGCACCCUCCGCAGCUGCUGGCCCGGGUGCUAAGCCCCUCACUGCCCAGGCAGGCGGGGCGCCAGCUGGCCGCUCUGAGUGCGGCGCCCGCCGAGCCUACGCCCACCCGGAACUCGCGCUGGCUCGCGAGCGCCGCGCGCUGCCCGGGUUCCCAUCCGCGCCUCUCCCUCCACACCUCCCAGCAAGCAGAGGGAGCCGGCUCUGGCCUCCGCCAGCCCAGAGAGGCUUCCACAGUGCAGCGGCGGGCUGAAGGGCUCCUCAAGCGCGGCCAGAGUGGACGCCGAGGCCGAGGAGGCGCGGAGAGCGAGCGAGGGCUGCUAGCCCAUGCAAUGGACUCCAUGAAGGUUCUUAUGCUUUAAUGCUUUAUUUUUGUGUGGUUGCCUCCUGCCAGGAGGUGGCGCUUUCCAGAAAGCAUCAGCUAGUAUAGAGAGGGACUAGAGGUGGGCAGGGCUCUAGUACUCCGAAGAUUAUAUGCCCUUUGUCUUCCGCUACCAGGGUGGAUAAGGAAGGACCAUUUGGCAAGGGCAGAGCUAGGCAUGUCUGAGCUCAGACUCUCCUUAGGGGGGUCUUGCUGCAGCUGCUGUGGGGGAUGGGGUGAGAUUCCCAGGUCACUGGAGUUGUGUGCCUAGGAGGAUUAUGGCUGCCUUUGCUGAGUCAUGCCGGUUAUCAGGAAAGUAGGGGAAAGCCAGAAGUCACAGGCUUCACCCAGCUCCCAUACAAAACGAAGGGCCGGUCUCACUCCCACCAUGCCCCCACCAAUAGCUCCGAGUCUGUUUCCAGGUCGAGGGUGUGAUGGGCUUGAAAACUUGCCGCGGGUUACCCACCUCCAGCUGCCAGAGAAAAGGGCUUAGUUCUUCCCCUGCCUGUGGAGUCUGCACACCAGAUUUGAGCCCUCCCUCGAGUUCUGGCCAGGAGACUUCUCACCCUGUUCAAAGUGUUACAAAGUUCAGCUAGAGAUUUCCUUCUCCCUGUGAAGUAUACUCCACGCUCCUUUGAUCACCCACCUGAUGGAUCUCUGUGGUGCCAGGAAGGAAUGUCCCUAGCAAGGGGACAUAGCGAGCUCCCAGGGCGUUUCUGCUGCUUCCUCUACCCCUGCAUUUCAGCUCUCAAAAUUGGCUCAGCUCCAGGUUCCUGCUUGAUUUGUGAAACAGCCCAGGAAUAAGGGACAUUCUCCUGGAUCAUUCUGCUUCGUGAGAGGAUGAGGGCUCAGGAAACCACCCUGCUCUGGAUGGGUCAGCUGACACCACCUAGACCAGUAAUCUGGCUCAACCAUUUCUGUCAUGCCACCCAGGAACAGAAGACAUCAAGAAAACCUCACUUUGACCCCUUAUGAUUCCAUCUGCAACCUGACCAAUCAGCAUUCCCUACUUCCCAAUACCCUACCCACCAUAUUAUCAUUUUUUCUUUUUUUUUUUUUUUUUGAGACUGAGUUUCACUCUUGUUGGCCAGGCUGGAGUGCAAUGGUGCAAUGUCAGCUUACUUCAACUUCCGCCUCCUGGAUUCAAGCGAUUCUCCUGCCUCAGCCUCCUGAGUAGGUGAGAUUACAGGUGCUCACCACCACGCCUGGCUACUUUUUUGUGUUUUUAGUAGAGAGGGGGUUUCACCAUGUUGGCCAGGCUGUUCUUGAACUCCUGACCUUAGGUGAUCCACCUGCCUCAGCCUCCCAAAGUGCUGGGAUUACAGGCAUGAGCCACUAUGCCCGGCCCAGAUUAUUUUUAAUAUCUCUGAUCCCCGAA